rnacentral:ncRNA from 1 species
GAGUUAGAGGUUGCGAUGUUCAAGAUUAUACAUUCAGAAGUGUUAUGGCACAUAUGUUGAAAUGUAGAAAGGGGAUAUUGCCGAAAUAAAUAGUGACCAUAAUGCUAUUUAUUGGGCCAGUGUUAAAUAAAUACUGGACUGUCACACUAAGUGAUGUGCUAC